GUGUAUUAUCAAAGAAGAUUCAAACAUUCAAAUGACAUUCCGUGGAGCAGAUGGGUAAAAAACAUAGGUUUGGAACACAGGCCAAACCUACAGAGGGUGCACAUGGUUUGUGAAAGGUGGUCAAAAGAAUAUCCAAGGAGUGCACCUGCCCCAUCUCGAAAGACAAGGGCCAGCAACAUCCUGAAAGUUUAUUCAUUAAUGAUCCUUCCGCAGGUUCACCUACGGAAA
rnacentral:misc_RNA from 1 species